GCUCCGCCGCGGCGCGCCGUGCGGCCACCGGAACCUGCGCCGGCCGGUACUCCCCCGGGAGUCACCGCGGAGCCGCGACGCUCGGCCCUGGGCGCGGGCUACCAGAGAAACAGGGGCGGGCCUAGAAAGCGGACUGACCCCGCCGUGACCGGCGCAGAGAUACUGGGAGCAGCAGAAAUGAGCUUCACGAAAUUGUCGUUGAGCGCGAUGCCGGCUUUAGCAUCGAAGAUGGACGAGUGAGUAUUGCUGAUGAAAUCCGUGGAGACAACCUGGGUGUCAGAAUUUCGAAGAUAGGUGUGGGUCGCAGAGCAAGGACCUCCAGCAGCUCUGACUUUGAUUCUUAGGCUUAUUGACUAUCCAUUCAUCGACAGUAUUUGAUGGACCCCUACUGUGCCCAAGCUCUGGGGACUGGGUAUGAGGAAGGCACAUGGAGGCUUUGCUUGUGGGAAACUGGCCAAAGGACACAGACCGCAAACACUCAGGUGCCGCACCGAUAAAUAUUAUUUUCUGGGAAUAAUGCAAGCACUUGGAAUGGCUGGUACAGAGGCCCAUGAGGAGAGGUGUCGAGGCUGGGUCUGAAUGACUAGGAGGGUCUGGCCAGCUUAGGUCCUCAACAGUAUCUGAGGUGGAAGGAGUUAUAGCACAGAGGCCCUGACUGUUUUGGCCUCCGUGUGAUGGAAGGCCGUCAGCAGUGGGGAAGGUUAUCAGCAGUGGGGGUGAUGUGAUCUGAUUUUAUUAAAACAAGAGGUCCUGGCAGCUGUGUGAGGGUGGACCUGCAGGAGCUAAAACAGGGAGGCAGCACCAGAGAUGGUACUACUGGGAGCAAAGGGACAUCCAUUCCUCACAGGGAAGGCAUCUGGCGUGGCCUGCCCUGAGCAAGUGUUGAAAAAUGGGAUAUGUUGUCUUGUUCACUAAGCAUGUAGUGAGCACCUGCUGUGUGACAGGCCCUGAGAAGACAGCUGAAGCUAUAGAAGUGAAAAGAUAGUCCCCAAAUCCUUGCUUUCUUGGAGGACACAUAUUAGCAGGACCAAUAGUGACUAUGAAAUGAAAUCUCAGGUGGGAAAAAGGGCCACAAAAAGAAUAUCUUGCUGAGGAGGAAGGCUGAAGUAGAGACUUGGAGGAGGUAAGGACAGACUAUAUGGCCACCUGGGGGGAAAGCUUUCCACACCAAAGGAGCAGCAGGUGUGAAGAUUCCGAGGCAGGGAGAGCUGACCUUCCCAGCCCUGCUGUUCCUAUCUUGAUACAUUGCAAACAGCUCCUUGAUAAGUGGAAAGUCAUGCUCCCUCCCCAGAGGGCUCCUCCCAGGGUCCCCUCUCCUGAGCCCCUACCUCAUCCUCAGUGUAGGCAAGGAUACCAGCCAUGCGCCCCUUGGCUUCUGCUUUUAUAGCGUCCUUGAUGGCCGAGUAUGGAGUAGGCUGGGCCAGGCGACAGGUCAGGUCCACAACAGACACAUCGGGGGUUGGCACCCGGAAUGCCAUUCCUGUCAGCUUCCUGGAGAAUCCCACAUUGGGGCGGGUGUCAGAACUCAAUGACUUCUCCGUUCAUCUCCCUUCACCUUUACUUUUCCCUCAAUAGAUGCCUCAAGGAUUGGGGACCAGUCCAGUCCACCUGAGGUGUGCCCUCUACCUUGGUUGCAGCUUCCUGCCCUCAUACCCUUUGAGUGCUGGGAUGACUUUGCCCACAGCCUUGGCAGCCCCUGUGGAGGCUGGGAUGAUGUUCUGGUGGGCUCCCCGUCCAUCUCUCCAGGCCUUGUUCGAUGGCCCAUCCACUGUCUUCUGGGUGGCAGUGUAGGAAUGCACUGUGGUCUUGGAGAAGAAGGGGGCUUAAGAGCCUUCCUGCUCCUAAGCUCCCAUGCCUCUUUUUCCCAGGUCUGUGGUGGUGAGCUAGGUGUGGAGGUUGGCAGGGCCACCACCACAGACCACAGGAGGGCACCUGCAGGCUAGGGUCCAGCCUUUCCUGAAUGUUGCACAGUAUUUUAAAAGACUUCAUCACUGGUGGGCCUCUUCUCCCGAAAGCAGUCUCUUUCUGUUAACUCCACACACUAAGCAUGUCCUGGGAGGAAGGGGUAGAGUUUCCCUGCCAUCCAUCCUGGCCCAGCCCUCUUCCCAACUCACCAUCAGUCCUUCCACGAUCCCGAAUCGCUCAUGGAUGACCUUGGCGAGGGGGGCCAGGCAGUUGGUGGUGCAGGAUGCAUUGCUGAAACAGUCCACGUGCAAGGGCACUGUAAGGUGAGUUGCAGAGCCACCCCUCCACCUCACUUUGGGGGUGUUUUGUGAAAAGUCAGUAUGGGGAUGAGAGGGAUCACUGGGGCUGCAUUCAGACUGAAGGAGGCACCGGAGGUGCAGCUGGGGGAAGCUCCCCCAAGCAUGUUGUCCAGAAGUCAUGCGUGUCUAACACUUUUAGGGUGAUAUUAACAUGACUGUUAAGACUUUGGGAAGGAGAAGCAGACUGAUGUGAAAGAAGCAUCAGGGAGGCUGGUGGGAGUGGGGGUGGGGUGGGUGAGUCUGAUCCCUCCCCAUCACAGGCUGGCAUGUCCUCUGGGCAUGACUUACAUACUUCAGGAUGUUGCUGCCCAUUACCUGACAAUCUUCAUGGAGUCAGGGUUAUAGUCCUUUUCGUUCACCCCCAUGACAAAUGUGGGUGCAUCUGGUGAGGGAGCGCAGAUGACCACACGAAGGGCACCUGCCUUGAUGUGGUUCUGGGGAAGGAGGAAGGAGCACUGGUGUCGUGAAUUCAUGAGGUGCUUUGAGUGCCACCACCACCCCGCCCCCAGCCAGCCCUGGACACCUCUCCCACUUACGGAAGUUUCUUCUAAUGACAGGAACACGCCUGUGGACUCCACCACAAAGGGGCUCCCGACAGACUUCCAGGGGAUAUCUCUGGGCUGCUUGCUGUGGAGGGGUGGCAGUGCUGUGUGUCAGUCUCCCUGCAUGGCCUCGCCUUCAUAGUCCAUGGCCUUUACUGCUCAAAGGGCUGAUCAGACACCUUCCCACCUGGCCUGUGACCAUCUGUUCUCCCCACCCCACACAUACCUAGCUGUCCCAGAUGGAUUCAACCCUGCUGGUCUUGCCUCACCCCAAAUCCCUUUGCAGGCCACUUUUCUUGACUGCACCACCUGGGUAUGUACAAGCUGCCACCUCCCCGACUCAGGCCUCACCUGCCCCCAGGGGACCGUCCCUGACUACUCCCAACCAGAUUAGGCCCUUUCUACCUAUGCUGCCUGGAAUGUGGACCGUGGGAGGGCGAGGCUUCAGGUCCCUUGCUCUGGCAACCUCACCACAGCCCUCUUUGCCCCUCUUAUAUUUGCCACUCAGUUCCUGUUACCGGGAGCCAACUGCCAGGCAAGUCCCUGAAGACAGGUACUACAUCCUGAGAGCAAUGGGCGUGGUGGGGGUGUAACCAAAGCCUGAGACUGCCCUGGGGUCAGCGAGGGCUAGGGGAUUACAUCAGAAAAGUAAGGAGCUUUUCUGUUUCUUGUUUUAUAAAUUUACAUUUUUAAUUGAUAUUUUAUCAAAUGUUUGCACUUGAAACAUAUUAAACAUCUAUUGCUGUUUUCUA